rnacentral:lncRNA from 1 species
GGCAUGUUUGCUAGUCUACCUUGCCACGAAGCACAAAGGUUGACACACAGGGACUUUCCAAUUAUCCAGCAAUGGUACUGUUCCUUUACCCUCUCUUCGAUUUUGAGAAAGUAGUCAUGUUGGGAGUCUGGCUCUCGAGAUUCGGAUGACGGUGCCUCUUCGAUUUUGGAGCAAGCAAUCUUGUUGGGAGUGUUUUCUCGAAUGUGAGUAAAGGUUGGGCAUGUUUGCUAGUCUACCUUGCCACGAAGCACAGAGGUUGACACACAGGGACUUUUCAAUUAUCCAGCAGUGGUACUGUUCCUUUACCCUUGUGGGUAAUAAUAUGGUAGCUAUACCUUCAAAAUUUAUGUGUCUAAACUUUGUUAGUGCUGUUUCUUUGCUAUUCUUUUACCUUUCUUGGUCAGAGCGAUGUAGUGGGAGCUGCAAGCUUCACGUGCUCAACUUUGGCAGAGAACUUUGGCAAAGUUAUCUGUGGUACCCAUGAGCUAUUGUUGCGUGUGGGAAGUGGGUGAUUGAACAGUAAGAUUCAUGUGCUUUCUACUUCACCAGAAGUCUUCGACAGAAUGCCCAUAAUUUCUGCAAAGCUGAGUGUGCGUGUGACAGGUGCUGACAAGGCUAGAAAAGUAGGUGCCUCUUCGAUUUCUGAGAUCGGCCCUCGUGGUCUCUGAGCAGCCCAGCUUUUGAGAAAGCGAGCGCCUCUUCGAUUGAUUCGGAGAACGAUGCCUCAUCGAUUUUUGAGAAAGCAAUCAUGCUGGGGGUCUGGCUCUCGAAGAUUCGGGGAGCAGUGUCUCUUCGAUUUUUGAGAAAGUAAUCAUAUUGGGAGUUUGGCUCUCGAGAUUCGGAGGGCGGUGCCUCUUCGAUUUUGGAGCAAGCAAUCUUGUUGGGAGUGUUUUCUCGAGUGUGAGUAAAGGUUGGGCAUGUUUGCUAGUCUACCUUGCCACGAAGCACAGAGGUUGACACACAGGGACUUUCCAAUUAUCCAGCAAUGGUACUGUUCCUUUACCCUCUCUUCGAUUUUUAAGAAAGUAGUCAUGUUGGGAGUCUGGCUCUCGAGAUUCGAAGGACGGUGCCUCUUCGAUUUUGGAGCAAGCAAUCUUAUUGGGAGUGUUUUCUCGAAUGUGAGUAAAGGUUGGGCAUGUUUGCUAGUCUACCUUGCCACGAAGCACAGAGGUUAACACACAGGGACUUUCCAAUUAUCCAGCAGUGGUACUGUUCCUUUACCCUUGUGGGUAAUAAUAUGGUAGCUAGACCUUCAAAAUUUAUGGGUCUAAACUUUGUUAAUGCUAUUUCUUUGCUAUUCU